rnacentral:rRNA from 1 species
UACGGAGGGGACUAGCGUUGUUCGGAAUUACUGGGCGUAAAGCGCACGUAGGCGGAUUUGUAAGUCAGGGGUGAAAUCCCGGGGCUCAACCUCGGAACUGCCUUUGAUACUGCAAAUCUCGAGUCCGGAAGAGGUGAGUGGAAUUCCUAGUGUAGAGGUGAAAUUCGUAGAUAUUAGGAAGAACCCCAGUGGCGAAGGCGGCUCACUGGUCCGGUACUGACGCUGAGGUGCGAAAGCGUGGGGAGCAAACAGG